rnacentral:rRNA from 1 species
UACGUAGGGUGCAAGCGUUAAUCGGAAUUACUGGGCGUAAAGCGUGCGCAGGCGGUUUUGUAAGUCUGUCGUGAAAUCCCCGGGCUUAACCUGGGAAUGGCGAUGGAGACUGCAAGGCUAGAGUUUGGCAGAGGGGGGUAGAAUUCCACGUAUAGCAGUGAAAUGCGUAGAGAUGUGGAGGAACACCGAUGGCGAAGGCAGCCCCCUGGGUCAAAACUGACGCUCAUGCACGAAAGCGUGGGGAGCAAACAGG